GAUGAACGCUGGCGGCGUGCCUAAUACAUGCAAGUCGAGCGAACAGACGAGGAGCUUGCUCCUCUGACGUUAGCGGCGGACGGGUGAGUAACACGUGGAUAACCUACCUAUAAGACUGGGAUAACUUCGGGAAACCGGAGCUAAUACCGGAUAAUAUAUUGAACCGCAUGGUUCAAUAGUGAAAGACGGUUUUGCUGUCACUUAUAGAUGGAUCCGCGCCGCAUUAGCUAGUUGGUAAGGUAACGGCUUACCAAGGCAACGAUGCGUAGCCGACCUGAGAGGGUGGUCGGCCACACUGGAACUGAGACACGGUCCAUACUCCUGCGGGAGGCAGCAGUAGGGAAUCUUCCGCAAUGGGCGAAAGCCUUACGGAGCAACGCCGCGUGAGUUAUGAAGGUCUUCGGAUCGUAAAACUCUGUUAUUAGGGAAGAACAAAUGUGUAAGUAACUAUGCACGUCUUGACGGUACCUAAUCAGAAAGCCACGGCUAACUACGUG
rnacentral:rRNA from 1 species